UUUUUCUUUCUUUGCUAUUUAAUGUUCAUCACUUAUGUUCUAUGUGUAGGCUUCAGGAGGGCCCAAGAAAUGAUUACACAGGAUGCAAGGGGAGGUGACAGGCCGGUGGCAGGAGGUCUGGAGCACGCAGCUCCCAGCUGCAGGGCCAAAAGGGUUCCGCUGUCGCAGCCCAAGGGAGGGAGGCGGGGACCCUAGAACCAAACACAUGCUACAACAUACUCGCAGCCCCUAACGCCCUCCCCAGCUGUGGUGCAGGAAAAUAAAUACCCUCAGUCUGUUCCAUGCCCCAGGGGCUUGGGUGAGGGGCCAGCAGGUGUGCUUCCUCCUAUCACAGACUGAGGUCACCAAGUGUCACCUAGUGCAAUGCUCCUAGUCCCUACUACAGGCUUGGGAGAGCCCUGGGUGGGGAGGGACGGCGGUCCCUGCACCCCCUGCCCGGGCUCCUUCAUGCUAAAUAGAGGGGGCACAUUCAUUCCAACAGCAAGCAAAACAACAGGCCAAGAAAGGGGUGAAAACGCCACUGAGACCCACGGCCCCUUUCUGGCCACUCUAAGGAAACGGGUCUUCUAAGUUGGGAGGAACCCCUAGAGGUGAUGAGUCCAACUUGGAUUCCUUCUUGCUUCGUUCCCACACCACCGGCCUGCUUUUCUUCAUCAAAAUCUCUGGGCCCAGCCAAGGCCCGGCUGUGGGAAGGGGCGGGGAGCAUUCCCCCACGCAGGGCCCUGGAAGACAGACGGACGCCAGGCCCGGGCUCAGCAUCCUUUGGCCGGCCAAGGCCGGGGUGGGAGGAGACAGUCCGGCCGAGCUCAGCUCCCACCAAGAUGCAGCACUGGCAGCGGCCCCAGCAGGGACCAGUCCUCAGCUGAGACGGGACUCAGAAAGUCCCAUCCUGUGUGUGUGUUGCUGGGGGGAAGUGGGGGCCUGGUCUCUGACUCCUAGGGGUGUGUUGGCUCCAGGUCUGUGCCAGGACAAGGGGCACCAACAGACAGGGGGACAAGCCCACGGGGCACAGGCAUCGGGCAGCAGCAUCCCUUCCCACAAUCCCCAAACCCGACUCCUGCGGGACAGACCCGAGUGGCCAGGCCUCGGGCAAGCAGCCCAGCCCAGAGGGGCCACACAGGGGCCUGAUGGGUACCCUAGAGAGGACUGAGCUUCAGGACAUUUCCCCGAAGCCACUUGGACUCCUCCCCCAGCCCUCCACAAACCUGGGGCCCCUCAUUCAGAGAGGGGGGCUGCACGGCAUCCCCCUUGGCUGGGUGGCCUGGGGCGAGUCACUGCCUCUCUCUGGGCCUCACUGUCCUGCAUGUAAAAGGAAGGGGGGACAGGGUUCCACACCCGCUUCCAGCUCAGCCAGGCCCCUGAUCUCUCAUCUCAGGCCAGCAGGGAGGGCGCGGGAGGGCUUAGGCUAGUACAGUCCCCCUCGCUCCCCAAGUUCACAGUGUAGAGUCCAUGGCUCUGGCUCCUCAGGACCUCCUCCUGAGUCUCUGGGCCUCGUCACUGUCCCACACCAUCCUUGAGGGGCAGCUCCUCCCCAGCUGAGGUGGGAAGGGCUGCCUUCCUAGCGUGGGUGGAAGGGAGGGCAGGCGGGGGCAGGGAAGGCCACUUCUCUCGCUGGAGAGGGUUGUGAUCAGAAGCGAGGGGCCACAGAGAGGUGUGGCAGGGCUGUAGUGUGGGCCAGGCUCGGAGGCCCUGCCCAGUGGAGCCCAGCUCUGUGGGCUGGCCCACCCCUGGGGACAUGGGCUCCGAGGGGGCUGGCCGGAGCUUCAGUCGUCGGAAUGUGGGGACAGGGCGGGGGCUCCCGGCCGUCAGCUCACACGGGGGACGUGGCUGUGGACUCG
rnacentral:lncRNA from 1 species